GUGGUGCGGGAACUGCUGGCUCAAUACACCAAACAGUAUGAAGAAAGACCAUUCAUUACGCUGCUGCGAAACUGGGCCGAGUCGGGAGGUGACAAGCUGAGAACCAGUUUCCUGGCAUUUAACGUGGACACAGUCGGUAAUCUCACCUUUCUGUUGAAAGCAGUGAAUUUUCGUGAAAGGGUUCUUCAGCGGAGUUUGGUGGCCAGAAUUUAUUAUAAGGUGAUGACCAAGAAGGAGGACUUUUUCAGGGCCUGGAACUCGUGUCUUCAUCACGUUACCUCCCUGUCGCUGGCACACAUCCACAGAGGUCAGUUGGCUCUGGUUGCGUGUUCAUAAUUGAGUGACUCAGAGGGUGGCAGGUUAUCUGAGAAUAAGACUCUGCAGAGAAAGAACAGUCCCCACCCCAGUCUGAGCCCUCAUGUUGAAUUUAGGGCCCCCAAAUAACGUAAC